CCUACGGGGGGCGGCAGUGGGGAAUAUUGGACAAUGGGCGAAAGCCUGAUCCAGCCAUGCCGCGUGUGUGAAGAAGGCCUUCGGGUUGUAAAGCACUUUCAGUGGGGAAGAAAGCCUUGGGGCUAAUACCCUCGAGGAAGGACAUCACCCACAGAAGAAGCACCGGCUAACUCCGUGCCAGCAGCCGCGGUAAUACGGAGGGUGCGAGCGUUAAUCGGAAUUACUGGGCGUAAAGCGCGCGUAGGCGGUCUGAUAAGCCGGUUGUGAAAGCCCCGGGCUCAACCUGGGAACGGCAUCCGGAACUGUCAGGCUAGAGUGCAGGAGAGGAAGGUAGAAUUCCCGGUGUAGCGGUGAAAUGCGUAGAGAUCGGGAGGAAUACCAGUGGCGAAGGCGGCCUUCUGGACUGACACUGACGCUGAGGUGCGAAAGCGUGGGUAGCAAACAGGAUUAGAUACCCCGGUAGUC
rnacentral:rRNA from 1 species